GCGAACUGAGCCUGAAGCCAGUCGAUGGUCUUCUUGUCCACUUGGAAAGCCUUGGCGAGGAUUUCAUCCGAGAUGGGGGGAUUCGACCCGAACACAGCAUCGGCGAUGGUGAUGGUGCCAGGGUUUUGGCUGCUGAGAGCACCGAUGGCGAAGGUGUUGGUGUGCCCAGGGUUGAACUGGAAGUGGAUGAGGCCUUGGGGGAACACAAACACAUCACCCUUCUUCAGCAUCUUGGUGAAGAGACGGUUGCCGUCGUCGCUGUUGGAUGUGACGAAGCCGACCAAGAGCUGUCCCUCUAUGACGGUGAGGAUCUCGGUGGCACGGGGGUGAGUGUGGGGCGGGUUGAGGCCAUUGGGGAUGUAGUCGAUGCGAACCAUGGAGAUGCCGAGGGUGUUGAGCCCUGGAAUCUGGAUCACGUUGGCAGGCGUGACAUUGAACCCGAAAUUGUUCUUUCCUGUAUCGCCGGGCAUGUCGAGGCCAGAAAGAGAGAAGUCGUCGGCUUUCACAACCAUGGGGUCCUUGCAGACGAAUCCAUUCACCCGCACUGCAACAGCAGAAGGAAGAAGCAAACUCGGUCGGUAAACAUGCAUCAGGAGAACAAACGCACCGAAGGAAAUUAAUCUGGAUACUAUGAAUACCUUUAGACAUCAUAUCUGCGACACAGAAGUCUUGAAGUUGGCUAGGAUCGGAAGCCAUUGCAAGAGAGGAAGCCAUGGCGAGGAGAACAAGGAGAAACAUUUCGGCGGCCAUCUGUAAUCUCUUAGAUGGAUGGGAUUACCUGGUGCCGUGAUACAGUGGCCUGGAAGAGACGGGUAUAUAUAGAGAAGCAGGCUCUGAAACAUUCAUGAUCAUUAGGUGAAGGAGAUGAAAAGUAUACCAUGUUAGGUUGCUUUCUUCUUGCAAUAUAUUUUCUAUAGCCGUCACCUCGUACGAGAUCCAUAUGAUGCACAGUAACCAUUAAAUUUGUUGACGUGUCUCAGUAACCUAAUCCAUGACCAUUUUAUAUGUAUAUAUAUAAUGAUGGAGCUUUUAGUUAGAUCAUGCUGUAGUGUAAAAUGGACUCUUACGUUCGACUGCAUAAUCCACCACGUGAGAUUUUUGUGACGACCUUACGCUACCAAACAAGAGGAGAAGUCAGCAAAGAUGUGGCAGCUGAACAGAACAAGCUAAGGACAGGUAGAAAGAACAAGAAGCCAAAGAUGUGAUUACCAAUUUGACCUUGUCGGGUCUUGUGUACUGCUACGGCUGAUACCGUGUAUUAUAAUUAAGGUGUUCUACGUCAUCUCCGACUAUUUUCAUCACACUGAGACGUCGCGUGCAUGUUGCAAAGAAGUAUGUAAAUACGUAAGUUCUUAAGAGAUUAUAAGUUGAUAUAAUGCUGUCCAAGAAUAGUAAGCAUGUUGAUAGUUGCCUCUACGUUAAACGCUUAUGGGAUCCUAAGUUAUUAAGAGAUCAUAAGAGAUUUUAAAAAUACUAAAUCUUCGUAUAUAGGUAUACAAGAAUAUUGUACGAUUUAGAUAAAAUCAAUUAUAUUCGUGAUAAAAAUCAAUGAGGUUAGGUGAGAUAAAAUAUUUUUUUUAAUUAAAUAUCUAAAGUAAAAUUAACAUAUCAACAUUACAUUGUUCACAUAAAAUUUAUAAUCAUAUUAUCUAUAAUACGAAAAAAAAAUUAUGUCAAAAUUUAAAAUCAAAUAAUAAUGGAUCUAAAUAAUAUUACGAUGCAUACCUUUCGUUGUUAUUUAGAAGAAUAAAUAUUAUCUGAUCUACAGGCGUAUCAUCGUCGGAUCUAAAUGAAAUACUUCUAUUUAGCCCUUAAGAUCAUAUCUAUUUAUAAACAAAAACAAAGAGUCUAAGAUAAGAUAUUAGAAGAAUUCCUCCCAUAAGGAUAUCCUUGGAAUCCUACUAUAAUAUGAAUUUUUUUUUUAUUAAUCAAUAAUCAUAAUCAGAAUUCAAUCAUAUCUAUAAUAUAUUUUACCUAAUUAAAUAUGACCACACAAUCUAACACUCAAUCAUAAAUCCACGAAUCAUAAAUCCAUAAAAAACCAGAAUUUUUGAACUCAUUUCAACCGAGUUCCCAAAAAGUUUAUUAAGUAAAUAAGAUAUUAUUAUGAAUACAAAACAUUUUAAAGUUUUAUAGAUGAUAAUUCUUUUCUAGAAGGUUCUGCCAGCGAGGAUGAAUAAAAAAAAAAGAAAAAUAUCGAUAUAAUAUUUGUAAUUUAUAUAAAUAUAAACAUUUUUCGUCCAUCCAACUCAGCGACCUCUCUGGCAAUCAGAAAGAUUUCAAUAACGAUCAAACAAAGGCUAAUCGAUUAUUUCAGUCAUCAGAUUUUGGUGGCAACGACAUGUUACCAAACACCAUAAAGAAGCUCUCAAAGUCCGACCACGAGACAAGACAAAGUUGCCAGUACGAAUCCGUCUCCGUUCUUCGACCUCGUUCCAUACUGUAUAUUACGAUCGAAGUGAACUGUGUCAUCUUCAACUAUUUCACCAUCACACUGUUUAUAUAUUAUUAUGGUCUAUUUGUGAUCACAACAUAAGAGUUCAAAUUCAUAAUUAUAUUUCAUUUUAGUAAAUGAAUAAAUUGGAGUGAUUGAUACCGCCGGUUAUAGGUGGAUGCAAUCGAGCCAUAUACUACUACUGAACUUUGUAGAUCCCAUGUCAUACAAGUCAAGACAAAAGCACUCCUUUCGGGAAUUCUUGGUGAUGACUUGUUGAAGUUAUGAUCGUGUAUACAAUAUCUCAUGUUUCAGUCAUAAUAUUUGCAUAAAUUGACUUAUUACCGGUAUAUUUUAGUAAAGUUGUCUGCAUAGAUAUAUAAAGUUCAUGAACCUGAGGGAGGAUAAACAUAAGGUGGAUAAAGAAGUAUGCAUAUAUAUAUAUAAUAUGAGAUAUUACACUUUUUGAGGAUGCUGCACUCCAUAUAAUCUAUAAUCUUCCAGGUGGGAAAUACUAUCAUAUGAUCUAAAUAUUGAAAUAUGACUCAUGGAUUUCUUUCUUAAAAAUCAAGUUUUAUUUAUUAUAUUUAAUGACGUGUUUAUAUGAAAUUUGCAACAGUACACCAAUCGUAUGUCAAUAGAGAUGACUCGAGAAUUCUGAAACAUGACACACUUCAUACGUACUUUUCAUAACAUAGAAAGGUCUCUUAAUUCCAUUACAAUAGCAAACGCAAACAGGUAGUCCACUGUUUGCUUAUUCACACCAAAACACACGAGCUAAGAGUGCAGCUUAAUUCAUUCCUCCGACUAGUUUUUCUUCGCGAACUGAGCCUGAAGCCAGUCGACAAGCUUCUUGUCCACUUGGAAAGCCUUGGCGAGGAUUUCAUCCGAGAUGGGGGGAUUCGCCCCGAACACAGCAUCGGCGAUUGUGAUGGUGCCGGGGUUUUGGCUACUGAGAGCACCGAUGGCGAAGGUGUUGGUGUACCCAGGGUUGAACUGGAAGUGGAUGAGGCCUUGAGGGAACACAAACACAUCACCCUUCUUCAGCAUCUUGGUGAAGAGGCGGUUGUCGGUGUUGGAUGUGACGAAGCCGACUAAGAGCUGUCCCUCUAUGACGGUGAGGAUCUCGGUGGCACGGGGGUGAGUGUGGGGCGGGUUGAGGCCUUUGGGGAUGUAGUCGAUGCGAACCAUGGAGAUGCCGAGGGUGUUGAGUCCUGGAAUCUGCAUCACGUUGGCAGGCGUGACAUUGAACCCGAACUUGUUUCCGGUAUCGCCAGGCAUGUCGAGGCCAGAAAGAGAGAAGUCGUCGGCUUUCACAACCAUGGGGUCCUUGCAGACGAACCCAUUCACCCGCACUGCAACAGCAGAAGGAAGAAGCAAACUCGGUCGGUAAACAUGCAUCAGGAGAACAAACGCACCGAAGGAAAUUAAUCUGGAUACUAUGAAUACCUUUAGAGUCCUUAUCUGCGACACAGAAGUCUUGAAGUUGACUAGGAUCAGAAGCCAUUGCCAGAGAGGAAGCCAUGGCGAGGAGAACAAGGAGAAACAUCUCGGUGGCCAUCUGUAAUCUCUUAGAUGGAUGGGAUUACUUGGGGCCUUGAUACAAUGGCCUGGAAGAGACGGGUAUAUAUAGAGAAGCAGGCUCUGAAACAUUCACGAUCAUUAGGUGAAGGAGAUGAAAAGUAUAC
rnacentral:lncRNA from 1 species